rnacentral:rRNA from 1 species
UAGUCCACGCCGUAAACGAUGUCAACUAGCUGUUCGGACUUCGGUCUGAGUGGCCAAGCGAAAGCGAUAAGUAUCCCACCUGGGGAGUACGUUCGCAAGAAUGAAACUCAAAGGAAUUGACGGGGGCCCGCACAAGCGGUGGAGCAUGUGGUUUAAUUCGAUGAUACGCGAGGAACCUUACCAGGGCUUAAAUGUAAGUUGACAGGGGUGGAAACACCUUUUUCUUCGGACAAUUUACAAGGUGCUGCAUGGUUGUCGUCAGCUCGUGCCGUGAGGUGUCAGGUUAAGUCCUAUAACGAGCGCAACCCCUGUUGUUAGUUGCCAGCGAGUCAAGUCGGGAACUCUAACAAGACUGCCGGUGCAAACCGUGAGGAAGUGGGGAUGACGUCAAAUCAUCACGGCCCUUACGUCCUGGGGCUACACACGUGCUACAAUGGGCCGGUACAGAGAGCAGCCACUUCGUGAGAAGGGAGCGGAAUCUAUAAAACCGGGUCUCAGUUCGGGAUCGGGAGUCUGCAACUCGACUCC